rnacentral:rRNA from 1 species
GGCGGCAGGCCUAACACAUGCAAGUCGAGCGGUAACAUUUCUAGCUUGCUAGAAGAUGACGAGCGGCGGACGGGUGAGUAACGCGUAGAAAUCUACCUAGUAGUGGGGGAUAGCCCAGAGAAAUUUGGAUUAAUACCGCAUACGCCCUACGGGGGAAAGCGGGGGAUCUUCGGACCUCGUGCUAUUAGAUGAGUCUGCGUCGGAUUAGCUUGUUGGUGAGGUAAUGGCUCACCAAGGCGACGAUCCGUAGCUGGUCUGAGAGGAUGACCAGCCACACUGGAACUGAGACACGGUCCAGACUCCUACGGGAGGCAGCAGUGGGGGAAUAUUGCACAAUGGGCGCAAGCCUGAUGCAGCCAUGCCGCGUGUGUGAAGAAGGCCUGCGGGUUGUAAAGCACUUUCAGUGGGGAGGAAGAUAUCACGGUUAAGAGCUAUGGUAUUUGACGUUACCCACAGAAGAAGCACCGGCUAACUCUGUG